UGGGGAAUAUUGCACAAUGGGGGAAACCCUGAUGCAGCGACGCCGCGUGAAGGAUGAAGUAUUUCGGUAUGUAAACUUCUAUCAGCAGGGAAGAAAAUGACGGUACCUGACUAAGAAGCCCGGCUAACUACGUCGCC
rnacentral:rRNA from 1 species